UAACACAGGUGGGGACGCUGUUCACGUAUUCUCCAUAACUUCUCCAGGAUCUCAGAAGGGUCAGGCUGACUUGGCAGCAGUUUCCAACAGCACAGGCAGAGGCGGGUGCCUCAAGUCUGAAGUGGCACUAAGAAGUCCAAGGGUCCUUCAGAUCCCAUCAAGAACCCUCCAUGUCUUCUGAAAGAAGGGCAGCCAACUCCUGACACUUAGAAGGGCCUCAGUAUAUUUGCUGGAUGAAAGCAUGCAUGUUGAAGAACAUGGCAUUUUCUACACCUGGAGCCAGUCUGGAGUGCUUGAAAAGCAAAGCAACGUACACAUGAGGCAAAUUCCUCCACAAAAGCAGAGACUUGACAUAACAGCAGUGAACAAAUCUUUAGAGCAGUUAGCAUCCUCUAGUGACCUCAGCUAGCCCUGCCGCACAUCAGGAGGCAAAUUGCCAAGUAAGUUCACUUAGAAUUUGACCAGUAGAAAUGUGUCCCUGAACUUCAGGACCCACAACUAAAUUCCUUCAGCAAAGACCAACCAAUGUCCCUACUUCUUAGCUAUCAGAGGAAUGUCCCCUGCUUCCAUUCAAUCCAAAGUCUCUGAGUUUUUCACAAAAUCACUUGGUCCCCUAAUUUAGGCCCCUUUGCUGUGGGUGUCCUUGUUAGCAGAAGUCAUGGCUAACCAGUGAGGCUCAGUCCAGCUUUUUCCAUGCAGCCAGAAAGGAGGCAUUCCGGACUUUUCGUCCGCACCCUGCAAAGUCAGGGCUGCUGCCCAAGUUUUGUAGGUGGCGUCUUGAAUGGGAACACGUCACCCAGCCUGUGCAGGGACCCUCAUCACAACCUGAGACCUUCACUGAGAAGUAGAGCGGGGUUUCUUAAACUUUUCCCACGGGCAACCUCUUUUCAUAGAUGCUUUUUAUGUAAUCUUGGGAUUUUAUAUAAAAUAGGUGUUCAAAUCAGACAUCGACUAAUGGUAGAUCCUAAUGCAAUGUUAAGAUAAUUUUUGGCAUAUAUAUGACUUUACCACUUACUAAAGAUUAAGGCAAAUUUGCAUACCAAUGAGAUUGAUUUGUUUAUUGUUACAAAAAAUUAGGUUUUGAAUGAGUACUUGAAGCUGUGGAAUGUAGAACAUCUGUAAUAUUGUUCAGAGUUAAUUAAUAUUUUGAUUUACAAUUCUCAAAGCAUGAAACAGAAAAAAUAUAUUUAGGGUCAUCUUGGAAAUUUCAUCCUAAUCCUAUGUUAAAAUUCUGUUACCUUUUUAUAAAGAGACUUAAGACAUUGAUUUUAAAUAUUAAACAUUCAAACACAAUAUAAUCCAAACAUAACCAAACAUACUCAUUUGAAGCUCCUAUGCUAAGGAAUGAUGGUAGGAGAAUAUUAAAAAUGUCUUGUUCUCUGUAUUAUGACAUUAUUAUUCUAUAAGAGAAGACAAUUGUAUGUGAUAAGUAAAACUUUUGCAGCCAUACCAUAUGGUAGUCUUGCAUCUGAACUGAGUUUCGAUGCAGCACUUCUUGGUACUCCACGGUGUAACAGCAUGCACAGAGCAAAGAGUGAAUAAUGUGUGUAUAGAAGCAAGACCACUGUGAAGUGCAAUGCAGCACUGUGAAGCUCUGCCAGAAACACCUUAGUGUGUUUAGAAUUUCUGGAUUAAACUUUUAUUAUUGCACAUUCAG
rnacentral:lncRNA from 1 species